AUUGAACGCUGGCGGCAUGCCUUACACAUGCAAGUCGAACGGCAGCACGGGAGCAAUCCUGGUGGCGAGUGGCGAACGGGUGAGUAAUAUAUCGGAACGUGCCCAGUCGUGGGGGAUAACGUAGCGAAAGCUACGCUAAUACCGCAUACGAUCUAUGGAUGAAAGCGGGGGAUCGCAAGACCUCGCGCGAUUGGAGCGGCCGAUAGCAGAUUAGGUAGUUGGUGAGGUAAAGGCUCACCAAGCCGACGAUCUGUAGCUGGUCUGAGAGGACGACCAGCCACACUGGGACUGGGACACGGCCCAGACUCCUACGGGAGGCAGCAGUGGUGAAUUUUGGACAAUGGGCGCAAGCCUGAUCCAGCAAUGCCGCGUGCAGGAUGAAGGCCUUCGGGUUGUAAACUGCUUUUGUACGGGACGAAACGGCGAGCUCUAAUACAGUUUGCUAAUGACGGUACCGUAAGAAUAAGCACCGGCUAACUACGUGCCAGCCGCCGCAGUAA
rnacentral:rRNA from 1 species